rnacentral:rRNA from 1 species
GACGGGUGAGUAAUGUCUGGGAAACUGCCUGAUGGAGGGGGAGUAACUACUGGAAACGGUAGCUAAUACCGCAUAAUGUCGCAAGACCAAAGAGGGGGACCUUCGGGCCUCUUGCCAUCGGAUGUGCCCAGAUGGGAUUAGCUAGUAGGUGGGGUAACGGCUCACCUAGGCGACGAUCCCUAGCUGGUCUGAGAGGAUGACCAGCCACACUGGAACUGAGACACGGUCCAGACUCCUACGGGAGGCAGCAUG